rnacentral:rRNA from 1 species
AUUGAACGCUGGCGGCGUGCUUAACACAUGCAAGUCGUGCGGUAACAGGCGUAGCAAUACGUGCUGACGAGCGGCGAACGGGUGCGUAAUACAUGGGAAUCUGCCUUUUAGUGGGGAAUAACCCGGCGAAAGCCGGGCUAAUGCCGCAUAAGAUCUUCGGAUGAAAGCGGGGAGUCGUAAACCUACGCGCUGAUAGAUGA